rnacentral:ncRNA from 2 species
UGCUCAUCGAGACCGGCUGAGGGACAGGCCCUUGGAAGCCGGGGCAACCCGCACGAUCGCAAGGUCGUGCACGGUGCCAACUCCUGCGGAGGCGCGCUGCGCCGCCCGAAAGAUGAGUC